GUGGGGAAUUUUGCGCAAUGGGCGAAAGCCUGACGCAGCAACGCCGCGUGAGUGAUGAAGGCUUUCGGGUCGUAAAGCUCUGUCGAGGGGAAAGAAAUGUAUUUGGGUUAAUACCCUGGAUACUUGACGGUACCCCUAAAGGAAGCACCGGCUAACUCCGUGCCAGCAGCCGCGGUAAUACGGGGGGUGCAAGCGUUGUUCGGAAUUAUUGGGCGUAAAGCGCGUGUAGGCGGUUUGUUAAGUCUGUUGUGAAAGCCCUGGGCUCAACCCAGGAAGUGCACUGGAUACUGGCAGACUUGAAUACGGGAGAGGGUAGUGGAAUUCCUGGUGUAGGAGUGAAAUCCGUAGAUAUCAGGAGGAACACCGGUGGCGAAGGCGGCUACCUGGACCGAUAUUGACGCUGAGACGCGAAAGCGUGGGUAGCAAACAGGAUUAGAAACCCCAGUAGUCC
rnacentral:rRNA from 1 species